rnacentral:rRNA from 1 species
AUGGUGACAACAUCCAGCGGCCCUCGUCUGCCUCUGCUCGCCCUGCCUUCAUCACCGACCAACCGUGCAAAUCCAUGUAAAAUGAGUUCAGGAAGAGAGGAGCCCCAGCCGGAUACAAGAGGAGGACAUCGAUGGCUCUCGGCGGCCAUCGACGGGGACUUGAAUGCCCCAACCCUCAAAGCUCGCCUCAUCUUCUACAGGCAACAGGGGGCGUCUUCCCUCCUGGCGCCCGUAGGCCUAUCAGGCAGCCUCGGCUCGCCGUCGUCGGGAUCUGGCCAACACCGGCUCCUAGCGUUGGAUCCGUUAGUGCCGGAUCUCGCCGCUGCAGGAUGCGAGGAAGAGGAUGAGGUACAGCAUGCAACAACGAAAGAAGGUGCAGAGCCAUCAACUAGAUUUUGUUUGGUUAAAGAAGGCCAGCGUUCUCAAGUGGCAGAGCGGAGCCGUUUGCCUAGCGGGUCGAGCAGGUCGUCAAGGGACAGCUCAAUGCAUAUUUCUACAAUCAAAGAAGGCAAGGACGAGGCGGAGGAGUUCCUGAAGAUGGCCAAGGAGAAGACUGACGACGUUGCCGAGGGCGCAAAGGAGACAGUGCAGGAGACCAAGGAGGUGGUGCUCGGCGAGUCCGACGAUGACAUGGACAAGUUCAAGCAGCGGGUCGAGCAGGGGAGCUACGAUCAGAAAUAA